AACAAGGUUUCCGUAGGUGAACCUGCGGAAGGAUCAUUGUCGAGACCCUCGGACGACCCGCGAACUUGUUCAUCACACGCCCCGGCGCAGGCGGCGCGCCCCGUGGCCCUCCCGGGGGCGGCGGGCGUGCCGGCGGCGCCGACAACGAACCCCGGCGCGGGACGCGCCAAGGAGAAGAACCCCAACGAGAAGGCGCGCCCCCGGCGCCCGUUCGCGGGCGACGCGGGGCGGCGGCCUCUUUCGCGAAUCGAAACGACUCUCGGCAACGGAUAUCUCGGCUCUCGCAUCGAUGAAGAACGUAGCGAAAUGCGAUACUUGGUGUGAAUUGCAGAAUCCCGCGAACCAUCGAGUCUUUGAACGCAAGUUGCGCCCGAAGCCCCUCAAAGGCCGAGGGCACGUCUGCCUGGGCGUCUCGCAACGCGUCGCCCCCCCAAACCCCGCGCGCGGGCGUCGGGGGGCGGACAGUGGCCCCCCGUGAGCGGCAGCUCGCGGCCGGCCUAAAAACCGAGUCGCCGGCGACGGACGGCACGACGAGUGGUGGAAGCACCGGCACGCGCCUGCGUCGUGCCGCGCCGUCGCACCGGGCGGUCUCGCGCGACCCCGGAGCACCGACCGCGACCCCAGGUCAGGCGGGAUCACCCGCUGAGUUUAAGCAUA
rnacentral:rRNA from 1 species